GGGGUGCAGCCGCCAGUCUAGGUAUCCGGGAGUGCUGCAACUAGACAGACUCGGGACGAGCGAGGUCGCCGGAAGGGUGCUACCGCCAGUCUCGGUCUCCUGGAGGGAGUACCGUAACGAGACGAGGUACGGCAAGACGCAGCCGCCGGCGGUACCUGUCUAGCCUGUAAGCCUGUGCUGCGCAGGGGUCAAGGUCGCCCUAGCCCUUCCUUCUCCUGCCGCUAGAUGCCUCAUGUCGACUUCGAGUACAAGAGGACAACAAGAAGUGAGAAAAAAAAGGGAAACGAGUGUGCUCGGCAUGUAUCGGGCAACGAAGUUGACGACACGUCGGGUUACGAACUUUACCGGGUGUGACAAAUAGAAGAGGCAAAGGUAUUGAUGGAGGAUUUUUCUUUUUUUAGACGACGUCCAUUAACUACCAGCUGCGAGGCGAAGGAGAGGGGUGCUACAGGUGUUCUUUGACUGCCCAAGGGAAAAUUUCAACGACGGGGUGAGUAAAAUAAGGGUAGCAGGAGGGUAUACCUACCUACAGACGGUAUGCUGCGAGUAUGACGACGGUCACGGAAGGUAAAUUUAGGAAGCCCAAAGAAGAGCCGACGGAACCCUAGCUCGACGACAAAAGAAUGACUUCUAAUGAGGGGUGUGUGAGAGGUUAUACUUCUCAUGAAGGGUCCGUGCGAGGUUAGACUUCCGUGUCACUUCUCAAAGGACCACAGUGUUCGAAUGAGGUUUAUAGUGUAUAUGUUCACACAUUUCUGAUAGAUCGUGUACGAGUAGCCACGAAGGCAGCCUGACGCGUAGUACCCCAGCUUCGGAGGACUAGCUCCACGUACGAAGUUCUAUUUAGUUGGAACGCCAGUACCACUACAACUUCAGAGGGAAGUAGAGGUAGACUACGUAGUGUGUCGACCGAGAUGCCAAUAAUGCUACAAAAGACAAAGAGGUAGAGCGACGGUCGAACGUCGGAUUCGAAAUGUAUUACGUCUUCGUACGUAUCAACGCGUAGUCUCUUCCGUUUUCAUUAUUAUUAGUCUCCACGGAUCCAUAUGAUAGCACUUUCUGUUGGGUUUUAUUUAUCGUCAUACAACGUGUUUUAACAAGGCGACUCUUCUGAUUUUUCACUCAGAGAACUAAAUAUCCACUGGGAAAAUAAUAUCUUUUAGUCUAAUACACAUUUGGGUGCAAAAUAUAUUAAAAAGUUACCUUACGUGUUGUUAUCAAAGAUGAU
rnacentral:rRNA from 1 species